rnacentral:lncRNA from 1 species
UCGCUUGUUUAGUAUAGUACAACAAAUCUCUAUCUCUACUAUACUUAAAAAAAAGAUUAAGGUUCCUUCUCCUACCGCCGGACCAUGUUCUGCCCUCCCUUUGUGCACCUCCCCGUGUUCGGUUUCCUGCCCGCUCACCCCGCCUCUAUUUUUCUCGUGAAAAGAAACCCUUGAGAAAAUAUGAGCCAUCCCGAUCCAAAUCUCUAUGUCCCAUCCCGAUCUGGCCGCCGCCACCAUUGUCGACGCCACCUACCCUUCCCUUUCUUCUCGCAAGCGACGGAUGAGAUCGUCGUCUCAAGCAGCGCGCCACGCGCUUGGCCCCGCCCACGGACGCAGAGCACCUACGUCCAGCUUGUGAGUUGUGACCCAGCGAUUCGAUGCGAACGCCAUGAGGUACUUCUCCUAUGGCGCCCCCCGUCCACCGGCUUCCUCCAGGUCUUGAAGCUCCUCUCAUCUCUCUCGUGUGCUCUACCCUCCUCCUUUCGAGAUAUCUCCCUCCCCGAACAUGUGUUCCCCCCUCCCAAUUCACUCUCGCCCAUCUCCCGAUCCAUCGCAGGUUUCUCUCUUUCCCAUGUGCUGGCGCCAAAUCAUGGACUCCGGGAACGGUGGGGCAUAGGCGACUGGCCCUAUUCCCCUUUCCAUUCUUGCGGGGUCUCUCCCGGCGUCUCUUUUCUCGUCUCUGCUGAGUCGGCCAAACGACGACUAUUAAGGAUGCGUGAGGAGGCGAUUCCGGGAGGGUGUGGGUGCGCGGCUGGCUAACGCCCUAACUGCGAUUUGCUGCAGCUUGUGGCCUUGAUUCCUGCUCUGAUUGAUGCGUGCGUGGUGUUGGUAAUAUGCGUGCGUGUGGUGUUGGUAUUCCCCGCCUGAGAGAUGCGUGCAUGGUGUUGGUAGAUGUAGUGCUGUGUUGACCGAGGUGUGCUUGUUCUUAGAUUGAUGCAAGACCUGCAAACUGAUGUCCCCUCUCUGACACAUGUAAUUCAGAUGCAUGUGUGAUCUGUACUGCCACGUCCCUAUCUGUUGCAUAAUUUUCAUGACAACCAGCAAAUAGGAGCAGCCCUUGGUGAUGGAAGAGGGAGAAGCGAUGGGAUUCA